CACAGUUUGACGCUGGUUUGUCCUUCAAGUCUGGUAAAAGCUUCAGAAAUCACAUAACCCGUCAAGUGCACUUGCACUUGGACAGACAGAGUAACAGAAAACCACCACCUUUGGUGGGUCCAAACAGUGGAGGAAGCAGGAGAUGCUGACACAAUGUACGGCAGGGAGGACGAGGGGAGGCAUGGCAGAUCCUCCCUCCAUCACUCAUCACCGGAGAAAAUGAGGAAGACUUGGACACAAAGACGUGAGGCGUGAAGAGAAGAGGAGAGCAGCCGUGCAGAUAAUUAUCAGGGUGUUAUCCCGACACAAUGGAGCUGACGGACAGAGUCUCAUCUCGUCGGCUGCAGGAGGAUGAUGAAUCACUGGCCGCAGCACGUCUGCCAAACGUAGAAAAAUAGAUGCUAUUUAAGUCAUGAAUGCAAUUUUGCCUGCGAUCCAUUUACUCACCUACAUUCUCCUGUGAUUACACUAAAACACACACGUUUUUUCCCGCUUAAUCGAGUUGUUGGAAUUAUUGUGUGCUAACCUCCAGUAGCCCAUUCCUUCACACGUACACACACACAUACACACAGCACAGAGCCCGUGUUGUGAUUUAAAUGGUCGCAGGGCACUGAGCUCCUGUUUGCUUCACCUAUUCCCGGGGUGUUUGUUUGGCUUCAUGCAUACUGUGCUGUAAUAGAGCACAGUGAGGCUUCAAAAGCGGUCUGUUAACACACACACCAGACUGCCCUGUAAAAAACACAGGCUCUCUGAGCGGCUACAUGCAAUAUUCACUUGCUGUACAUGCAGCCAUUUUUGCGUAGGUGUGGACAGACAAGAAGAAAGAUGGAACAUUUUUUAUAGCCAUCAAGUUGCCCAUUAAGACUCUUGGGCAUUUUGAAUUAGUUCUGAUUCUUUUUACAAGCUCCCUGUAACGUCAGAUUUGGAAGGAAAAGAAGGUGAGAGAAAUAGAUGGAGGAAAAAGGACAAUAAGACAACCCUUCCCUGUUGAAAAUCUGUUCUUUUUUUUUGUCGACUGCUGGACAAUGAGAUUUUUCAAGUGCAGCUGUGCUUCCCAAUUAAACAGCCUGUUCCCAUCGCA
ensembl:lncRNA